UGGUGAACCGGCGGAGGGAUCAUUACCGAGUUUACAACUCCCAAACCCCUGUGAACAUACCUAUACGUUGCCUCGGCGGAUCAGCCCGCGCCCUGUAAAAAGGGACGGCCCGCCCGAGGACCCUAAACUCUGUUUUUAGUGGAACUUCUGAGUAAAACAAACAAAUAAAUCAAAACUUUCAACAACGGAUCUCUUGGUUCUGG
rnacentral:misc_RNA from 1 species